rnacentral:lncRNA from 1 species
UACACUUAAUGAUCCAAAAAGGUCCCACAUAACGAGGGCAUAACUUUCCUCUUUUUUGAACUGCAUCUUUCUGUUAUAUGGGAAAACCUUGAGGAAAACCUAGUGUCCAACAAUGAAUUAUAGGGGUCACCUAUGAUUAUCGACGUAACUCUUCUGACAGCUUUGGGAAGUAUCCAAGUUCUUGCGUAUGAUCGUGACCUUCUCAAUAGUCUCUUGGAUGAAGUCCGGUCCCAAAUGAUGCUAGUUUCUAACUUCACUCCAACAAGUGAGAGA